GAUGAGCGAGCGGAAUUUUGUUACUAGCUCAUUGCUGUUGUGCAUUUUGAAUUCCGUGUUGUUGUUCAUUUUUGAUUGUGUUCGCUGCCGCUGUCCGUGUCGAAGGCCUAUUUUCACGAGAAUGCAGCCGCAACAAGAUUGGACAGGAUAGAGGAAAAUCUAGGUCAAUGCAACAAGGACUUCGCGCAAUCUGAAAAUAAGAUAAUUGGCGGCUCACAUUAAUACGAAGAAGAUUAAGGGAAAAAUCCAAACGUUAUUUCUAUUUGAAAACCCUGUCUAAAACAUCGUGGCUUUAAAUGUAAACUUAAGAAAAAUAUUCAGCCUCCACUUACAAUGUUUAGGAGAACAAGAUAACCAGAGUGACUGCAGAGCUGGAUCUACC